UACGUAGGGAGCAAGCGUUGUCCGGAAUCAUUGGGCGUAAAGCGCGCGUAGGUGGCCCCAUAAGUCCGCUGUGAAAGUCAAAGGCUCAACCUUUGAAAGCCGGUGGAUACUGUGGGACUAGAGUACGGAAGAGGCGAGUGGAAUUCCUGGUGUAGCGGUGGAAUGCGCAGAUAUCAGGAGGAACACCGGUGGCGAAGGCGGGACUCUGGGCCGAUACUGACGCUGAGGAGCGAAAGCGUGGGGAGCAAACAGG
rnacentral:rRNA from 1 species